rnacentral:rRNA from 1 species
AUUGAACGCUGGCGGCAUGCCUUACACAUGCAAGUCGAACGGCAGCGCGGGAGCAAUCCUGGCGGCGAGUGGCGAACGGGUGAGUAAUAUAUCGGAACGUGCCCAGUAGUGGGGGAUAGCCCGGCGAAAGCCGGAUUAAUACCGCAUGAGACCUGAGGGUGAAAGCGGGGGAUCGCAAGACCUCGCGCUAUUGGAGCGGCCGAUAUCAGAUUAGCUAGUUGGUGGGGUAAAGGCCUACCAAGGCAACGAUCCGUAGCGGGUCUGAGAGGAUGAUCCGCCACACUGGGACUGAGACACGGCCCAGACUCCUACGGGAGGCAGCAGUGGGGAAUUUUGGACAAUGGGCGCAAGCCUGAUCCAGCCAUGCCGCGUGAGUGAAGAAGG